AGGGGGCGUCUAUUUUGGAACAAACCAUUGUGUGGGCUGCGGAGGCCAUAAGGGCUGCUACCACCCCCGUGCAAGGGGUUUCUGCCCAAGCCCCCGAUGGAGGCAGGAGUGGCACUACCUUCACCGUCCGCAGCCCCUGCCCAUCCUCCCGGUUCCCAUCCAAGUCCCAGAUAUUGAACCAGCCCUGCAUCCCAGGUGUAAAUCCCACUUGGUCGUGGUAUUGGAAACAGGCUGGGUCAUCAUCCCACUCACUGUACCACCAUAGGUGGCACCUCAUCACAGCUUCAUCAUGGCUUUGUGUCUGUACAUCCUGCUCACAGCUGACCCAGUGUGAAAUAUGAGUGCACGAGUAAGAUCAAGAUCUAGAGGAAAGGGAGAUGGAAUAAAGUCUUCUAAGCAGGAAGAACCUGUGGUUGCUAAACAACCAGGUGAAAAAACAUCACAGCAAAAGGAACUACCAACUGAGAAUCCAGAUAUUGAGACUGGGCAAGAGAAAGAAGGAGCACCUGUGGCUCAAGAACCUGAACUGGAAAGUGAAACCCAGGGAAUGGGUCUGGAAAAGACUGGAGCUGAGCAUGUAGAUUGCCCUGAGGUGAGAAAGGAAGACUCCACCUAAUCCAGCACCUGCUAAAAUUCCAGAAGCAUGUGAUGAACAGUCAUAUGUUCAAAAGAAGACAAGCUGAAGCCAUACAUAUGCUUUGUUAUGUUGAUAAUUUGGCUUAAGUUCUCUCAAUAAAGCCUUAAUAAAAUUUGCUCA